GACGAACGCUGGCGGCGUGCUUAACACAUGCAAGUCGAACGGAAAGGCCUUGCUUUCGUUGUGUGUUCGGGUUGCGAACGUGUGAGUAACACGUGAGUAACCUGCCCUUUCUUUUGGGAUAACUUCAGUAAACUGGGGCUACUACCGGUUAUUCGCUCCUGCUGCACGGUGGGGUUUGGAAAGUUUCGGCGGUUGGUGAUGGACUCGCGGCUUAUCAGCUUGUUGGUGGGGUAGUGGCUUACCAAGGCUUUGACGGGUAGCCGGCCUGAGAGGGUGACCGGCCACAUUGGGACGGAGAUACGGCCAAGAAUCCUAGGGGAGGCAGCAGUGGGGAAUAUUGCACAAUGGGCGGAAGCCUGAUGCAGCAACGCCGGGUGCGGGAUGACGGCCUUCGGGUGGUAAACCGCUUUCGCCUGUGACGAAGCGGGAGUGACGGUAAUGGGUAAAGAAGCACCGGCUAACUACGUG
rnacentral:rRNA from 1 species